ACUGGGUCAAACGUUUUCUUUGGGAUCAAUCGGAGCCCACCGGGUUCCACAUGUUUCCGUCGGUUAUGCCGAUACCAAAAACCAUACGCGUGCGACUAUGAGCGAAGCCUGACUCCAUGCUUUCUCCCUCAAUUAAAAUCCUUAGGUCAAAACGGAAAAUUAGCUCACGAAGAAUUUCGAUCCCGCACUCUUCAGUUUCGCGCCCACUACCGUGAACCUCAAAGAAGAAUCCAAGACCUCGGUUUCUCCCUUCAUCGAAGAACCAAAAACGCAACCGACUCCACAGAGAAAUCCAACAUCGAGAUGUGAUCGGUACAUAAAUAGAAUUCAACGAUGCUAUUUUGCUUGCGCGUGAAAUGAAAAAGAAUCAAGAAGGAAGAAAUGGCCUACCAGUUUCGUGAGUCGUGUGGUGUUGCGUUCUUGACUCGUUCGUGUGUUCAAGGUUGAAGAGAGCCGGAUUAUUAUUGAUGCGUGAGGAGUAUUGAAUGGUCGUUGUUGUUCUCUGGUGAGGCGUGAAGACAUCGCGUUCGUCGAAGUAUCGGUGAUGACCGACGGUGACGCGCGGAACCCUCUCCUUGGAAAUCCGGGUGAAAGGUGAUGAAGGGUGAAUAAGGUUGUUAUGGACGAAGAGGAGGGUGGAGAAAGGUUGAGUAAAAAUCCUCUUUGUUGGUUUUCUGCAGGUCUUUAUAUAGGUUGCAGAGCGAAGAAGGGUGUUGAAGAAGUUAUUUCUUAUGCAGAGUGAAAAAAGCGAUUGGAAGGAAAUCCUGAAGAUUAUGGAUGGUUCUCAUAUGGUGGUUUCGGUUCCAUCCUAUUACCGUUAUGCUGCUAGAGGGAAAAUCCUGUCAGGUUUGUUACCUUUCUGUUAUAGCUUUCUAUGCAGGUUUGGUAUUGAGUUGAUGGGAGAAGUUCUUAUGAGGUUGAAGUUGGGGUGGUUAAGGGAAUUCCGUUUCGGGGAAGAUUCUGUUGGACGGUUCUGCUAGUGACUGUCAGCCUUAGAAAAUUGGAUCCCGGUUCCCAUUCUGUUAUCGAUUGAGGAGUUGGGUCUGAAGGUUAUAAAGGGGUGGUUCAGAAUUGAAGUCCGUUGAUGGAAGUCCUUCUUGAAGUUCUUUAGGUGAGAUUGGAUUCAAGGUUUUGAUCAAGGUUCUGUUGGAGAUGACGAUUCGAAGAUCUCAGUUCCAGUUCCAUUACGGUUCCAUGUCGGUUUUGGAAGGUGGUUUAGGAAGUUAGAAAACUCUGUUAUGUUCUUGCUAGGAAAGAAUGGAACUCGUUAUAUGGAGGUCGAAGUUCCUUCAUUCCGGUUGUGUUAUGAAGUGAAGGUUCUUAGAGAGUUUAAUGGAGUUGAAAAUUCGGUUGGAGGAGUUUUGUUAUAACAGUUCGUGGAAAUGUCUCAGUUGCCGGUUAGAAAUAGUUCUGUUAUGCUUUUGGGAGAAGCCAAAUCAGGUUUUCAAUUGAGGUACUUUUGUCAAUGUUAAUUGAGGAAAAACUCAUCGGACAAAUUCUUAAUUGCUUAAUUGGCAGCAGGCGCCGGCUCUUUAGGUCCAGAGUUAGAAGAAUGUCCAUCUGUCUCUAAUGUGAAGUGAUUGUGAUUUUGUAGUUAUUGAAUGUGUUGGUGUAUGUAAUUUUGAAUAGAAAUAUUAGUUUUAUAGAUGUUGGACAAAAUAUGGCUUAUAUUUUGCAAAACUUGCUUUUGUUUGUGGUGAGCUAGAACACUUGUUAGAUAAAUUACUAGGAUGGUGCUAUUUUGGCCUGCGAUGUAAUCAAUGAUAAGCACACAAGAAUUGAAUCAAGCCAGUAAUAAGUACAUACUUUUUGCCUUAA